GUCGCUCAUCCAGUAUGGUGGCUAUGAUCCUCGGCUUGUAACCGAGUGGGUUCAGGUUCGAAUCCCGAGUAAGACA
rnacentral:tRNA from 1 species